AAGUGGGCGGGCACUGAUGCACUUAAUUUAUAAUGAAUAAUCUGUAUGAAUAUGGACGUUUGUGAGAUGUGCGCCAUCUUGUUUUCAGACGCCGCAGUGUUGUAGUGGUUUCUAUGGGCCGGACUGUAAACCGUGCAUUGGGGGUUUCCAGCACCCAUGUUAUGAUAAAGGGACUUGUUUUGAUGGCAUCAAUGGGAAUGGCUCCUGUAAGUGUGAACCAGCGUUUACAGGUGUAGGCUGCCACCUCUGCUCAGACCCCAACAAACAUGGAGAGAACUGUGACGAAGAUUGCCGCUGUGUCCAUGGUGUAUGUGAGAACAGGCCUGGCGGUAUGGGGGUGUGUAGAAGAGGAUCCUGUCGGGAAGGGUUUUCAGGGAAGCUUUGUGACCAGACAGCCACCCCCUGCAAUUCAGACGCCGUCCUCGAGCACUGCCACAUUCACGCCAAAUGUGUCUACAACAACGAUCAAA